rnacentral:rRNA from 1 species
GACGAACGCUGGCGGCGUGCUUAACACAUGCAAGUCGAGCGGUAAGGCCCUUUCGGGGGUACACGAGCGGCGAACGGGUGAGUAACACGUGGGUGACCUGCCUCUAGCUCUGGGAUAAGCCUGGGAAGCUGGGUCUAAUACCGGAUAUGACCUCGCGGUGCAUGUUGCGGGGUGGAAAGCCUUGUGCGGCUAGGGAUGGGCCCGCGGCCUAUCAGCUUGUUGGUGGGGUGANGGCCUACCAAGGCGACAACGGGUAGCCGGCCUGAGAGGGCGACCGGCCACACUGGGACUGAGACACGGCCCAGACUCCUACGGGAGGCAGCAGUGGGGAAUCUUGCGCAAUGGGCGAAAGCCUGACGCAGCGACGCCGCGUGAGGGAUGACGGCCU